UUGAGAAUUCUCUACCACAGCUUUGUUAUAAGAAAUUGACACAAGGCCAGGCGUGGCUGCUCACGCCUCUAAUCCCAGCACGUAGGGAGGCCUAGGCAGGAGGAUCACUUGAGUGCAGGAGUUUGAGACCAGCCUGGGCAAUCUAGUGAGACCUCCUCUCUGAAAAAGUUGACACAUGAUGUGAAUUGGGUAUCACAGAAGAUGUUUUUAACAGGACCAAAUAAGAUAUUUCUCUUACCCUUUUAGGACUGAGGUUUUGCCAAUACAUUAGGCAAGGACUGGCUAACACUUGAUAUCAUAAUACUAUAGGUACAACAGAAUCUUUCUUUUUUGUUGAUGCAUUUAUAAUAUAAUAUUGAGUGGGAGUUUUCCCAUUGCCCCGUAAUUAUGAUUAUGCCCCAAAACUGAGAAUAAAAUUAUUAAAUACUUCACAUUCUAAGUUAAAAUAACUGAAUAAUCCCAUAGUAUUAGCCAAGUAGUGUCACAAGCAUACCUAUCACCACCACCACUACCUCACCACCACCACUCCUACUCACCCUUCAUUAAAAAAAUGGUAGGCCUGAGAGAAAAUAAGGAGGCCUUUUGGAGAAUCAGUUUGUGGACAGGACUGUUCCCAAUAUAUAAUUGGAGUCGGGGUUGCAUGAAGAGAAUUAUAUCCAAAGAUUGGGAUUACCAAAAUAAGAGGCAUAUUUCUUUUCUCUGUUGGGUGUUUGCUGGGACAGAGGACUUGCUGAGCUCCUGGAGCUAUAUGAGUAGAGGAAAGAGAAUUUGCAAGAGAUGAUAGACUAACAGAGGCCAGGACAGCAAGAAAGUGGUCUUCAUGCCCAUCAUUUAGUGUGUCAAGAAUAACGGAGAUUCCCAUGGAUGGUAUGAACACCAGGGAAAGUAGGUGAGCUUCAGCCAUUUUGUCAGUAUGCGCGCUGACCUCAGCAAGAGGGAAUCUCUGCAGCAAGAGAAAUUAAAGUGGUUCAGUAAACUGGAUCCAGAUGACCAACAUCAGGAAACUACAUAAUGGGAAGCCCCUGCAGGCUCCCUCAAAGAAGCCUCAUUAUAGAUCUAGCUUUUGGAUACUGUCACACAGAGGUUAUCAAAAUCCAGUUAAUGAGGACUGCAUCCUUACCCAGUCAAGUAAGAAAAUAAUCGCCCUUUUCUCUGUACUUGGGGUCGGGGGAGAGUAGAGGGGAAUAGUGUAAAGAGCUUUGAAUUGAGCUGGAGAUUGAAGCUUUAAAGUUAACAACAUGAUUCUUUAAUAUAUUGUGAUUGUUCUAAUAACUUUAAAUAACUGAAAAAUCAGAGAAUCUAUGUAGGAUAUAAUUAAAGGAGUCAUCCCUCUUUUUUUCUAUUUGAUUUUAAAACUUAAGUAAAGCCAGGAACUACUAUUUUUAAAGGCACUGAAAAAUAACUUAUGAUUAGAAAACAUAUAUUUUUAUAUACUGGCAUGUGUAGGUCACACUACAAAUAUACUUUAUGCUUUCCAGUUAAAAGGUAAUGGUGUUCUUGAAGAUAUGUUAGAAAUCCAAAAUAAUAAUUUAAGAUAAGUUGGAAG
rnacentral:lncRNA from 1 species